UGAUUAAGGGACUAUUAUUGCUAAUACUUAACAAUUAACCUGCUGGAAUCCGGUGUGAAUCCGGAACUGUGCCGCAACGGUAAUCGUUUGCUUCGCAAAGCGAAUGCUCAAUUAUCAAUGCUCAUUGGCUCAAUGAAUGAUCAAUGCAUUAAUGCAGCAAUCAUUGAACUUUGAAACUUGAACAUUGAACAUUAAGCUUGCCUUGCAAGCGUUAGUCCGAUACAGCAACAACCGCAAAUAGCGG
rnacentral:ncRNA from 1 species